rnacentral:ncRNA from 1 species
UAUAAAGAUUGCUUUUAUAGAUUUAAAAUUUGAUUAUGGUUUUUAAAUUGUUAAAAUAAUAUUAUUUAAGUUUAAUUUAUUUAGUGGGCAAUGUUAAUUUACCCCGGUAAUUAAUUAUUUGUAUAAUACUUGUUCCAGAAUAAUCGGCUAGGCUUGUUAAAAUUUAUACUUUAUUUUGUUUUAAUUAUAAUUUUAGUUAAUAAUUUAUUUAAUUAUAGGUUAAAUUUUAAUUAAUUUAAGUUUAAAAUUAUAAUUUUAAGUUUUGAGAAACGAAUUAGAUUAGUACCUAAUUAGUCAAAAGUUAAAAGAGCAGGAGUAAAGUGGUAUUUAAACUGAAAGAAUAUUGGCAGAUUUUCUAAAUUAUCUUUGGAGGUUGAGUAAUAAUUGAGAACCCUCAUUAACUACUUUUUUGUUAGUCUCAUGUAUGAUCGUUUAUUUUAUACUUAAGGUAUAUAAUAAAAAAUUUUUAUUUAAUAAAAUAGAUAUAUAUUUGGUUUAUGUAAAAGUUUAAUUUGACCUACAAUAGUUUAUGUUUGUGGAUUUGCAGUUUAGUAAUUGUAAUGAAAAUGUAAAAGACAGUAAAAAAAUUUUUAUGAUUUUUUGAAGAUUAUUUAGAUGUGGUACAAAUCAUCCAUCAAUUGCCCAAAGGGGAGUAAGUUGUAGUAAAGUAGAUUUAGGGGAACCUUAAUCUAAUAAU